GGUGAUCCAAAAGACAAAGUUGUGAGAUUUUUUGAGGACAACGCGUUGGUGAUCUCGGAUAGUGAUUUGGAGUCCCCGUUUGAGCGGGGCAGCGUUUCGAGACUGUUCGGAAAGGGAAAGCUCCGGUAAAGUGAUUUAGAGAGCGCGCGAUCGGCCUUAAGGUCCCAGUACCAGUUACCAGCGGUGAUUAGUUCCAGCAUUCUUUUACAGUUGUGAUUCGGAGACGAGGGCGAGCACUUGGCGUUUUGGGGUUUGUUCUAUCUCCUUCUUUUGUUUUAGCUAGUCUUGUUGCCU